rnacentral:misc_RNA from 1 species
GAAAUGCGAUACGUAAUGUGAAUUGCAGAAUUCAGUGAAUCAUCGAAUCUUUGAACGCAUAUUGCGCUCUCUGGUAUUCCGGAGAGCAUGCUUGUUUGAGUAUCAGUAAACACCUCAACUCCCCUUUUCUUUUUCUGAAAUGGUGGAGCUGGACUUGAGUGAUCCCAACGCUUUCUCCAGAAAGCGGCGGGUUACUUGAAAUGCAGGUGCAGCUGGACUUUUCUCUGAGCUAUAAGCAUAUCCUAUUUAGUCUGCCUUAAAAACAGAUUAUUACCUUUGCUGCAGCUAACAUAAAGGAGAUUAGUUCUUGUGCUGACUGAUGCAGGAUUCACAGAGACAGCUUCGCGGCUGACUUUGUAAACUCGAUCUCAAAUCAAGUAAGACUACCCGCUGAACUUAA